UACGUAGGGGGCGAGCGUUAUCCGGAAUUACUGGCGUAAAGCGCACGCAGGCGGUUCGCCAAGUUUGGAGUGACAGUUGUCGGCUCAACCGACAAAGGACUUCAAAACUGGUGAACUUGAGGACGAGAGAGGAACAUGGAACUCCGAGGUGUAGUAGUGAAAUGCGUAGAUAUCUGGAAGAACACCAAUGGCGAGGCAAUGUUCUGGCUCGUUCUGACGCUCAGGUGGCGAAAGCCAGGGGAGCGAACGGG
rnacentral:rRNA from 1 species